UUUUUUUUGAGGCGGGGUGGUACCGGGGAUUGAAUUCAAUCACUGAGCCACAUUCCCAGCCCUAUUUUGUAUAUUUUAAAUUUAGAGGCAGGGUCUCACUGAAUUGUUUAGCUUUGAACUAAUGAUCCUCCUUCCUCAGCCUCCCGAGCUGCUGGGAUUACAGGCGUAUGCCACCACACCCAGCGAAGCCUGUGUUCUUUACUGUGACAUCUUAUUGCCUCUUGCCAAGGAGUUGAAUGGAGAAUAUUAACACCUGAACUAUGGACCAGCUUAAAUAUAUUCUGUUGGAAAUUUGAAAUAACCCCAAAGUAAUCAUAUGUUGAGACAACUACUUUCUUUAGUACUUUGUAAUCAUACAAAAUGGUGUAUGGAGUAAAAUAUCAAAGCACCAUGUCAACAUUCUUUAAGUUAUUUAUCAAUCAUGGCAGCUGUUUAGCAUUAGUAGAGAUCUUC
rnacentral:lncRNA from 1 species